CUGCCCUUAACUCUGGGAUAAGCCUGGGAAACUGGGUCUAAUACCGGAUAGGAGCGCCUACCGCAUGGUGGGUGUUGGAAAGAUUUAUCGGUUUUGGAUGGACUCGCGGCCUAUCAGCUUGUUGGUGAGGUAAUGGCUCACCAAGGCGACGACGGGUAGCCGGCCUGAGAGGGUGACCGGCCACACUGGGACUGAGACACGGCCCAG
rnacentral:rRNA from 1 species